AUUGGUCAUUCGACAUGGUUAAUUCUACUUACCCAUAUUUCUUUUGUUUGCAAUUUUUAAUAGUGAUAUACACCUGAUAUAUGCAGAGAUUGAAAAAGUGUAUCAAAAAUUGUGGUAUACACCUUCUGAUAUACGCAGAAAUUGUUUUACUAAUGAAAGAGAUUGUACCGUUUAAUUUGUUCCUUGAUGUCUCAUGUUUAAUUUUUCUAGCAUCUACAAGAUCUUCCCGAUAAACUGUCUCAUGAUAUGCUCUCAGAGACUGACAUUAAGCUUUCAUACACCUGAGGCGAUGCUUUUAAGUGAGCAAGGUAUCUAUGUUGCUCAGACGAUUGGUGCCAAGUACACAAGCUGGAGCCGAUACUUACAUGGGACUGCUAAUCAUUCUCUAAAGAAAGGAUUGGCUGGUAGAGAAACUGCAAAUUUGGGGAGAAGGGACACUGCAAAGUUGACCAAGGGACACUACAAAGGAAAAACGGCAAAGGAAGAGUCACGGGAACUGAUGCUCAAAGAGGAGGCCUCAACACGGGAAAUUGUUCACAUGAUACAAAAAAGUCUUUCGUUGGUGCUUCAUGCCCUUGGGGAAAUUGGUCUUGCCAAUCCUGUGUUUUGUCACAGCCAGUUACCUUUUUUGUUCUUGCCAAGAUCCUUGGCUGCUCAGUUCCAGAAGUACUUGCAGCUUGUUUUACCGGCCAUUCUGGAUGGUUUUGCCGAUGAGAAUGAAUCUGUUCAUGAUGCAGCCCUGGGGGCUGGCCAUAUACUGGUGGAGCACCAUGAUACAGCGUCUCUGCCUCUUCUUCUUCCAGCUGCGGAGGAUGGUAUUUCGAUGAUAAUUGGCAUAUCCGUCAAAGUUCUGUGGAACCUCUUGGGUAUCUAUUGUUCAAGGUUAGAAAAUGAAAGAAUGUACUAUUAUUCCGUCACUACUGAAAAGUGUCUCAACACUUGUGGUUUUGAUGUUGCUACUUUUUUGUCUACCAAUGUGGAAAGUGUUUGCAAGAGUCUACUUGGACCAAUGGGUUUAAUGAGUCCUAAGACUCCCGAGCAGCAAGCGGCAGUAUAUUCCUUGUACACAAUGGUGUCUCUGGCACAAGAGGAUACAUAUAGUGUUUAAGAUGGUUUUUAAAAAUGGAAAUUGUUUUACUAAUCAAAGGGAUUAUACCGUUUAAAUAGUUUCCUGAUGACUUAUGUUUUAUUUUUUUCUAGCAUCUACAAGACCUUCCAGAUCGACUCUCUUAUGAUAUGCUUGGAGAGACUGACCUUAGAAAAUCUCCUCACUUUUACUUCGCCUUUCUUUAGUAAAUGAUGGAGUUAGAAUUUCAUUCCUCUCUCUCUAGACACUUGUUGAACUCUAAUAUUUUACUCUGACAUUUCAUACAGAGUGCAAUGGGUAAAUAAUAAUGUUCAGCUGCAAGUUUUGAGUAGUUAAAACUCUAAUAUUUUAUGUUUUUAUUCAGAUCUUUCAAACACCGGAGGGGAUGAUUUUAAAUGAACAAGCUAUCUAUGUUGCUCAGACGAUUGGUGCCAAGUACACAAACCAGGAGCCGAAAGGCUAGAGAAGCUGCAAAUUCGGGGAGAAGGGACACUGCAAAGUUGGCCAAGAAAGCUGACAAAGGAAAAACGGUGAAGGAAGAGGCACAGGAACUGAUGCUCAAAGAGGAGAUGCCCUUGAGGAGAUGGGUCUUGCUAAUCAUGUGUUUUGUAACAGCUAGUUACCUUUUUGAGAGAAUUAUACACAGUCAGUGGCUGAAUCAGCAGAUGAUAUAUGGCCAUGGUCAUGAUUUGGGGACUGAUUAUUCAGGAAUCUUUAAAGCACUUUCUCAUAUAAAUCUCAAUGUCCGUUUAGCUGCAGCAGAAGCAUUGGCAGAUUCUCUUCAUUAAAGCCCGACAUCAAUCCAGGUCAUUGCAUUUCUUGAAUUAUUACUUUGUGUGGCAAUAAAUAUGGUUCUUUAAAGAUUAAUUGUUCUUUACACUUUAUUUCUUUGUACAUCCGUGAUGCGACGUCUGGCAAGGAUGUCUUUGAUGCUGGUUGGAUGGGAAGGCAAGGAAUUACCUUAGCACUGCAAUCUGCUGCUGACGUAUUGACAACAAAGACCUUCCUGCUGUUAUGACCUUAUUGAUAUCCCGCGCACUGGCUGAUCCCAAGACAUAUGUUCGUGGAAAGAUGAUCAAUGCUGGUAUCAUGAUUAUUCAUAAGCAUGGCAAGGAAAACGUUUCAUUGCUGUUCCCCAUCUUUGAGAAUUAUUUAAAUAAAUAGGCAUCUGAUGAAGAGGAAUAUGACCUGGUUCGUGAGGGUGUUGUUAUAUUCACUGGAUCACUAGCAAAGCACUUGGCAAAAGAUGAUCCUAAAGUCCAUAAUGUUGUGGAAAAUCUGUUGGAGGUGUUAAAAACCAUCAGACUCUGUGCAACGAGCAGUCUUAACAUGCCUUUCUCCACUUGUGCUAUCAAAGCAAGAGGAGGAGGCCCUUGCCCCUUUUUUUGAGGCUCUUCGAUAAGCUAAUGGAGAGUGGUAAGUACGGUGAGCAUAGAGGAGCAGCUGUUGGUCUUGCGGGAGUAGUUGUGGGCUUUGGAAUUUCUAGCUUGAAGAAAUAUGGUCUUAUAGUCACUUUGCAAGAAGCACAUAUUGACAGAGCUGAUGAUUUCCAGAUGCCGGUGAGUAUUGUGAAGAAAGACGGUGAGAAUCGACGGAGAGCUCGAGAGUCGGAGAGUGGGGAAAAAGUUUUUUUUUUUUUUUUUUUUGGUUCUCAACUAAGUGAUGUUUCAGUUUCCGACUAAGUGAAAAAAGGGUUUAGUUUAAGUGUUUUAUCUUAAGGCGCUUAAUUUUUACUAAGUGCUGGUGGAAACCCGUGUUUUAGGUUCCCGCUUAGUUAUAUUUAGGUUUAGCGUUUUAAUAACGCUAUUAUAUAGUCUAAUUUCCCGACAAAAUUCUAUUAUAGCAUUUGCGAAAACUGCGCUAUGUUUUUCUGCUAUCAAUGCCCAUAUUU